UGAGUUGUUGAACUCAUCUAUUUUGAACCAAACAAAAAAAUAAAAAUAUCUAGAGAAAGGGGAAGGAGAACCGUGAGAGAGAGAGAGAGAAGAGGCAAAGUUUCUCCCUAAGGAAUUCAACAUCCAUGGAAGCUUGAAGAUGGUUGAAGAAGAUAGAAGAGAGAGGAAAGAUCAACCAAAAGCUUGGGAAAAAUUGAAGAGACUAAGGGAUGAACAAAGGUUUGGGUAAGGUCGAGACGAGGACAUUGUACCAUUACCACCGGGAACCGAUCACUGUAACCAGCUUGCGAGUCAACCCUAGGUCAGCCCAGAAGCCUGUAGCUGAAACCGUUUUGAUGAGCCACCCGAAGUGACUCUUUUGUUAUAAUUUUGAGGAUCCCUAUGAUGGCAUAUUUUAUUAUAAUGUUGGGACCAAUGGAUGUGUAUCUCUAGAUACUGUUAACACUUAACUUCCGAGUUGAUCCCUUUUGUGUUCAGUUAUAUAAAUGGUGCAUGGAAUGUUAUGUAUGUAUAGUAAUGCGACAUGAUCCUGGUAUUUAGACACAGCUCAAUGAAUAUUAUUCUUCUAUUAUUUUGCUUCCGUUCAGGCCCCGAGAUUGAGUAACAUUUAACGAACGAAGUUUAGGCCUCGAGUUAGGCCGAUCAUGUCCAAACUUUUAAGGGCAGGUUUGGAUUGUGACAGUUGGUAUCAGAGCACGAGUUGCUACCUCACGCACGAGUUCAUUGAGCUUUAAGGCAUCUAGUAAAGAUUUAAGUCAUACUUUCAUGUGACUUUCGGUGCAUAUUCAGUAAUCAUGGAUAUAUAUACAUAUUGGUAAUGAUCAUGAUCCAUGCCUACUUGUGCAUUUCUGUAUGUAUUAUAACUAACCAUUAUGUAGAUCAUGGUGAGAAUCAGAAUCGAUGAUCCGGAAGAUCCUACCUCCGUAAACUUGGAUAGAAUGGAAACGAUGGUUAUGGAGAUGGCAGAAACUUUGAGGCAACAACAGCAGCAACAGCAACAACCACCACCACCCAUACCUGUACCACCGCCAGGUAUGCAAGAUUAUCAAGCUGAGGAUCAUACAAUUACAUUCACAAAGGAAUUCAAAAAGAUGAAGCCGCCUUCGUUCAAAUGAUGAAUUGAACCAAUGAAAGCAGAAACGUGGGUGUUGGGUAUAGAAAAGUUAUUUGAGGCUUUUUCUUGUACUGAAGUUCAAAAAGUGCAACUUGCUUCCUUCACUCUUGAAGAUGAGGCACGAAGAUGGUGGAUGCUCACGAAAACUGUACAUCAAGGAUUAACAUGGGAUAGAUUUUUGGAACUGUUUUAUGACAAGUAUUUUCCUCAAAGUAUGCGAGAUAAGAAGGUGACUAAGUUUGAGACCUUGAGGCAGGGGAACAGGACUGUUGUAGAGUAUGAGGCUCAAUUUGCUGAAUUGGCCCGUUUCGCACCACAUAUGGUGUAUACGGACUACAAGAAGGCAAGAAAGUUUGAAGGUGGGUUACGGACUGCUAUUCUCGACCAAAUUAAUGUGUUGAAACUACCUACGUAUGUCAAUGUGUUGGAAAGGGCAGUGAUUGCAGAAGGUAAUGUUGUCGCUCAAAGUCGGGUCUCGAAAUGGAGAGGGAAAAGACAAAAUAUCCAAACCUCAAGGGGCUCGGUGACACCGCCAAGUAAGAAGUUGAAUUCAGGAACUUCUAGUCCAUCUGCUUCUACCCGUGAUUCUGCAACAAUUUGUUCGGAUUGUGGGAAGAGACACCGUGGAAUUUGUUAUCGGGUAACCGAAGCAUGCUUUAAGUGUGGCAAGACAGGUCAUUUGGUCAGAGAGUGUCCAUAAAAGAGUCAAAAAAAUGGAAAUAGAACCACCGCAAGUUCAGUUGGAUCAACCCCUACCCCAGCUAUAAAGGCAGCCACGAAACCCUCCAACGCUACAGACACCACCAAACAAGGAAGGGUAUUUCAGCUAGUUCUGGGCGAUGUACAAAAUACCGAGGUUAUGGUAUAAGGCACAUUUUUCGUUAAUGGUCAUUUUGCACAUGUGUUAUUUGACUCGGGUUCUACCCAUUCCUUUGUAUCAAAAGCAUUUGCUAGUUACUUGAGUAGGCCAAUGGAACCAUUACCUUAUGUUUUGUGUGUAUCUUCACCUUCAGGGGAGUCCAUGGUAUGUUCAUUUAUUUAUUUUGCAUGUGAAAUCCUAAUCAGGGAUGUUUGGGUAGAUGCCAACUU